rnacentral:lncRNA from 1 species
CCCUCUCAGUAGGACCUUGCCUGAGGGGCAAGGGAGCUGGGGUAUUUAUCCACAGAUUCCCAUCAUUCACUGUGGGAGGACCACUCCUGGGGUGCCUUAAUGCCUCAGCUCUCUCAUUAUUUGACACGUGGGCACGGUGGGCACCAGCAACCAGAGAGGAUCCUCAGAUAGAUUCGGAAAUGAUGGCAUUCGGAAGUUGGGACAACAUGUAUGGAAAUGGUUAGUGGGGAGGGGGGAUGGCUGGGGCACCACCAAAGUCUUCUAUAUGCAUGAUUAAAAAUUCUCAGAACAUAGUAACAUUUCAAUAAACAAUAGCUAUUUAUAAUAGUACACAUCCGUGGUCCCCGGCAAAGUGUGACACAGCUGAUAACCUAGAGGUAGGUCCAGAUAGGCUGUGUGCCAUGGGAGCGCUAGGCACCAACAGCCCUACAGCAGGUGUUUAGUGUCCCCUCUUGUAUAUAUAGGGGAACUGAGGCUCAUGGAGCAUGAGAGCCUUGUUGAGGGUCAUGAGGCCGAUCGUGCCAAUGUUGGUCUCCUGCGAGCUGUGCUGCUGCUCCCACCAGUCCAGGACUGUAAAGAGUUUUCAUCCUGUGUCUGUGUUAAAAUGUGCUCUCUCUGAGCCCCACCAUGACAGCGCAGAAAUUUGUUUCCAUCUGUAAAAUGUCAAGGCUGAAUCUUUUAUGUUCUGCCCUGGGUCUGUGCCCGAUAAUGAACUCCAUCCAAGCCCUGUGGCUGCCUCCAGCCCACGAGACUCUUUGGAACAAAACGAAUAAUUCUCAGUGGCAGGAGAGAGUGAGGGAAUGGUUUCAUCACUCUUUUCCUGCACGACUCAGACCUGAGAGAAAAGAAGAGGGAAUUGGCAGAAAUAGAAGGCGGCAGGGACGCUCUCUCACUUGUUCCCUGCAGUCAUGCCUGUAUGGAAUUUGGGAGUUUGCUGGACCAGGGGGGCUGCUUUGGGUACACUGGGAGCAGAAACCUGGGGUUCCAUCACCUGCCUCAUGGCGGGGCAUCGAGUCUGCUCUCAGCUCUCUUUCCUGAACACCAUUGCCACAUCUGUCUGUGCUGGUGACGAAAGAGAGAGAAGCCUCAACUGUCUCCUUUGUACUGCACUAGGCCAUUCCGCAACUCAAGCAGGAGAAAAACCCAGGAGUGGGGUGGCGUAGGCGGGGCCACCACAAGGAGCCCGUGCAUCAGGGGGCGCAGGCUGUUUCUGGAUCAUUCCACUGGGAAGGGGACAAAACCCAUCUUUUAUGACCCAUGUUCAGUUCUCAGUUGGAGUCAGAUGAGGAAGAGAAUGCCCAGCAAGGUAAAAUGGCAGAGCUAAGAUGCAAACAAACUCAGGGAACCCAGUCUAAGUCACGAUCCAUUCUGGAAGACCUUAACACUUUCCACUGACUGUGAGAGCUGCCGAAUACAUUUUGACCCAUGGGUGGUUCCUGUCCUUGGUGAUUCCCCGACCUCUGGUGAGAUCUUUUCCUCUCUGGCAAGCCUCUGGAUGUUCUGACUUCAGAGGGGUUCUGGCUGCAGCUUUAACUCAGCCAUAUGUUGUGACAGCUCUUGGAGCAGCAUUACACGGGAGCAAUAUCCUUCCUGCUAAUUGGAUCUCAGAAUUCAUUUUCGGACCAAAGACAUCAAAUAAACCCAGGAAAUACGAAGCCGUUUGCAGUUAUGACUUGAGACGAAUUGAGUUGUUCAUCCUCUAAAGUUGUGUUCUGUUCCUUAUCAGCCUCAUCUGAAAUCUCAGACACAAAAGCAGAGAUGUUUCUGCCAGGAGGGGCGGAAAGUUCGGUCUGGUUUUGAUAUGUGUCUGGAGAUGAUAAACUUGGGAAGGGAAAUAUAGCAGAUCCAAUCCUCCCUCCCCCAUCUCCAUUAGGUCUUUGGCCUUGAUAGAUUUCAAUAUCCUGUGCAGCUGAUGUCUGACCCACGCAUCAAGAAUACAGCCUUCACACACCUGCCGUGAGAAGCCCUCUAUGACCUUCUGCAGAGGGAGGGAACUGCCUAAGAGCUGCUGAGUGCAGGAAUGCAGGGUGCUAAGAAGCAGGUACCCAGUUUGGGGUUAAAAUAUGUAUAAUAUAUCCAUUUGAAUACCCAUCAAUAAAUAUCAGUCAUGCUC